CCUGACUGCUAUCGGAUUGAUACUAAGCCAUGCGAGUCAUUGUAGUAAUACAAGGCAGACGGCUCAGUAACGCGUAGUCAACCUACCCUAUGGACGGGAAUAACCUCGGGAAACUGAGAAUAAUGCCCGAUAGAACAUUAUACCUGGAAUGGUUUAUGUUCCAAAUGAUUUAUCGCCAUAGGAUGGGACUGCGGCCUAUCAGUUUGUUGGUGAGGUAAUGGCCCACCAAGACUAUUACAGGUACGGGCUCUGAGAGGAGUGGCCCGGAGAUGGGUACUGAGACACGGACCCAGGCCCUAUGGGGCGCAGCAGGCGAGAAAACUUUGCAAUGUGCGAAAGCACGACAAGGUUAAUCCGAGUGGUUUCUGCUAAAGGAACCUUUUGUCAGUCCUAAAAACACCGAUGAAUAAGGGGUGGGCAAGUUCUGGUGUCAGCCGCCGCGGUAAAACCAGCACCUCAAGUUGUCAGGAUGAUUAUUGGGCCUAAAGCAUCCGUAGCCGGCUCUGUUAGUUUUCGGUUAAAUCUGUACGCUUAACGUACAGGCUGCCGGGAAUACUGCAGAACUAGGGAGUGGGAGAGGUAGACGGUACUCGGUAGGAAGGGGUAAAACCCUUUGAUCUAUUGAUGACCACCUGUGGCGAAGGCGGUCUACCAGAACACGUCCGACGGUGAGGGAUGAAAGCUGGGGGAGCAAACCGGAUUAGAUACCCGGGUAGUCCCAGCUGUAAACUAUGCAAACUCAGUGAUGCAUUGGCUUGUGGCCAAUGCAGUGCUGCAGGGAAGCCGUUAAGUUUGCCGCCUGGGAAGUACGUACGCAAGUAUGAAACUUAAAGGAAUUGGCGGGGGAGCACCACAAGGGGUGAAGCCUGCGGUUC
rnacentral:rRNA from 1 species